AGAGGAAGUAAAAGUCGUAACAAGGUUUCCGUAGGUGAACCUGCGGAAGGAUCAUUAUCGAGUUUUGAACGGGUUGUCGCUGGCCUCCUCGCGGGGCAUGUGCACACCUGGCUCAUCCACUCUCCACCUCUGUGCACUCAUUGUAGAAUGGUGAACGGCUGCGCUUCGGUGCGGCUAGAAGCCACUCUAUGUCUUCUUACACACGCUUCAGUUAUAGAAUGUCAUCUUGCGUAUAACGCAUUAUAUACAACUUUCAGCAACGGAUCUCUUGGCUCUCGCAUCGAUGAAGAACGCAGCGAAAUGCGAUAAGUAAUGUGAAUUGCAGAAUUCAGUGAAUCAUCGAAUCUUUGAACGCACCUUGCGCUCCUUGGUAUUCCGAGGAGCACGCCUGUUUGAGUGUCAUGGACUUCUCAACCUUCCACUUUAUUGUUGGAGGCUUGGACUUGGAGGUCGUGCUGGCUCUCGUAGUCGGCUCCUCUGAAAUGUAUUAGCGUGAACGUUACGGAUCGCUUCAGUGUGAUAAUUAUCUGCGCUGUUGUGUUGAAGUAUAGUCAGCUUGCGCUUCUAAUCGUCCUCACGGACACUAUAUUGACAAUCUGACCUCAAAUCAGGCGGGACUACCCGCUGAACUUAAGCAUAUCAAU
rnacentral:rRNA from 1 species